ensembl:miRNA
UGGGCUCAGGGACAGGCCAUGGCCUCCAUGCUCCUAGUCCCUUCCUUGAAGGGUCGGAUAAGUCACAUGACGAGCCUCAAGCAAGGGACUUUGAGCUGGUGGCUCCCAGCAGCCUCCUGUUCCUGAACC